CCUUCGAUAGCUCAGUUGGAAGAGCGUGAGACUGUAAUGGAUACUUAUUAUCUCAAGGUCGCUGGUUCGAUCCCGGCUCGAAGGA
rnacentral:tRNA from 1 species